GAAGGCGCCGGCCUGAGAGCCUGAGGGGAGUCGCCCAGCGUGCGACGCUAGGCUCGGGCUUCCCGCUCAAACAAGUUCAGGCUGCAGCCUGUUGGGCUUUGCCUUCAAUUACUUUCUGUGACCGUUGUGUUUUCUAUUCUACAGUCAGAGCACAGAAACGGUUUUCUUCGGGCUUUUGAAAGAGGUUUAUGAACUAAGCACCUGAUUUCCACCUAUAAUACUGUAAUUCAAUAACUUGUGUGAUAUAUGAGAAAUCCUGAAGUUCAUCACACUGUAACUGAAUUGCCAUUCCCACAACACUCCAGAGAGUUCUCUUGCCCUCUUUUGGCCAUGUGAGGAUACAAGAAGAUGGCAGUCUGCAACCAAGACGGCUCUCACCAGAACCCAACCAUGCUGGUAAUCUGAUCUCAGACUUCCAGCUCCAGAGCUGUAAGAAAUAAAUUUCUGUCGUUUAUAAGCC
rnacentral:antisense_RNA from 1 species